rnacentral:lncRNA from 1 species
GUGACGGGCAUAAAUCCUAACAAUUGGUAUCAAAGCCUAACUCUCUGAAUGCCAUAACCGGUUGAGAGCGAUAUAUAUUUUUUUGUUGAGAAUAUUGAACACAGGAAUAAUGAGCGAAGGACACUCCACCGAGAGGCCUCCAUUCUUUGAUGGAAGAAAUUAUACAUACUGGAAAGAGCCGAUGAGAAUAUUCAUCCAAUCACACAGCUUU